UACAGAGGUCUCAAGCGUUGUUCGGAUUCAUUGGGCGUAAAGGGUGCGUAGGCGGCUUGAUAAGCGUGCGGUGAAAGCCCGGGGCUCAACCCCGGGUCGGCCGUGCGAACUGUCGAGCUGGAGCACUGUAGAGGCAGGUGGAAUUCCGGGUGUAGCGGUGGAAUGCGUAGAGAUCCGGAAGAACACCGGUGGCGAAGGCGGCCUGCUGGGCAGUGGCUGACGCUGAGGCGCGACAGCGUGGGGAGCAAACAGG
rnacentral:rRNA from 1 species